CCUACGGGGGGCAGAAGUGGGGAAUAUUGGGCAAUGGAGGCAACUCUGACCCAGCAAUGCCGCGUGAGUGAUGAAGGUAAUUUUAUUGUAAAGCUCUUUUCUUUGGAACGAAUAAAUGACGGUACCAAAGGAAUAAGCCCAGGCAAAUUACGUGCAAGCGGCCGCGGUAAAACGAAGGGGGCAGGCGUUGUUGGGAAUGACGGGGCGUAAAGGGUGUGUAGGGGGUUUGUUAAGUUAGAUGUGUAAUACCCAGGGCUUAACUCGGUUGCUGCAUCUAAAACUGUUAGACUUGAGUACUGGAGAGGAUAGUGGAAUUCCUAGUGUAGCGGUGGAAUGCGUAGAUAUUAGGAGGAACAUCAGUGGCGAAGGCGACUAUCUGGACAGCAACUGACACUGAGGCACGAAAGCGUGGGGAGCAAACAGGAUUAGAUACCCUAGUAGUC
rnacentral:rRNA from 1 species